rnacentral:lncRNA from 1 species
GAACAAAUGGCGUAGCCCUUCAGAGAUGUUGGAGCCGAUUCUGAUCUCGCCAUCGCAGGAGUGCCACGAACUGGAACAGGGCCCGCUCUCAUCUCAUCUUGACAUUUAUAUUGCUAAGUCAUACAAGCCAAACUGAAAGUCUUUCAUCAUAAAAGGGCAGUCCAAAGGCCACUGAAGAAGUCCACGAAUCUUCCUCAUUGCCUGCAGUAAGCUUUGGAUCAGGCCCCAGUGAGCCAGCAAGAACGUGCCGUUCAGCGUGCUAUAACAAGUCCACCGGCAUGUGCUGAUAGCUGCAGGAGAGCU